GUGGGCGUGGUGCAGUUGGCAGCACAUCACCUUGCCAUGGUGAAGGUCGCCGGUUCGAGCCCGGCCGUCCACUCCA
rnacentral:tRNA from 3 species